CGAGAGGAGUUGAAUUCGAUUGGACCGCCAUCAAAAACCAUUGCCGAAUGGAAAAAGGUUUGGUCGGACUAUAAAUCGGCGAUAAAGAAGAAGCUCGCGCAUAACAAAAGAGAGCUACAUGCUACUGGUGGAGGAGAAAAUAGGGAAAUUCCCUUAACAUCUAUGGAAGAAGUUGCUACCCUUCUGUGUCUUAAUGAUUGCGUUGGUGGUAUUAGAAACUCCAAACAGUUUGGAGUGCCACAGGGGAGAAAUUAUGAUGACGCAGUUCCAUCUACAUGAAAUGUUCCACAGAUGAGAGCUUCUGCUACGAGAGAUGUACCGCAGGAGAGAAUAUCUGAGGACACUUCUCCACCUACUCGGAGAGAUUACGAUGGUAUUGAAGCUCACGAAGACGUAAAUAUUGAGAAUGAUCAAAAUAUUUCUAACCAAAGAAGAAAAAGGAGACCCGAGCAAUUCGAUUUAUUAGAGAAGCAAAUAGGGGUUCAAGAAAGACUGUACGAAAAAGUGUCUGAGGCUGUUGAGAACCAACAGGAAUAUUUUCAACACAUGAGGGACCAUUUAAAAAGACUGAAUAGAUCAGUAGAGAGGCUAGGCG